CCAGACGACCAACAGGUUUAAACAUUGAGGAGUCAGAGAGGAGUCACAGGCCAGACGACCAACAGGUUUAAACAUUGAGGAGUCACAGACCAGACGACCAACAGGUUUAAACAUUGAGGAGUCAGAGAGGAGUCACAGACCAGACGACCAACAGGUUUAAACAUUGAGGAGUCAGAGAGGAGUCACAGACCAGACGACCAACAGGUUUAAACAUUGAGGAGACAGAGAGGAGUCACAGACCAGACGACCAACAGGUUUAAACAUUGAGGAGACAGAGAGGAGUCACAGACCAGACGACCAACAGGUUUAAACAUUGAGGAGACAGAGAGGAGUCACAGACCAGACGACCAACAGGUUUAAACAUUGAGGAGUCAGAGAGGAGUCACAGACCAGACGACCAACAGGUUUAAACAUUGAGGAGACAGAGAGGAGUCACAGACCAGACGACCAACAGGUUUAAACAUUGAGGAGACAGAGAGGAGUCACAGACCAGACGACCAACAGGUUUAAACAUUGAGGAGACAGAGAGGAGUCACAGACCAGACGACCAACAGGUUUAAACAUUGAGGAGACAGAGAGGAGUCACAGACCAGACGACCAACAGGUUUAAACAUUGAGGAGACAGAGAGGAGUCACAGACCAGACGACCAACAGGUUUAAACAUUGAGGAGACACAGACCAGACGACCAACAGGUAGAAACAUUGAGGAGACAGAGAGGAGUCACAGACCAGACGACCAACAGGUAGAAACAUUGAGGAGUCACAGACCAGACGACCAACAGGUUUAAACAUUGAGGAGACAGAGAGGAGUCACAGACCAGACGACCAACAGGUUUAAACAUUGAGGAGACAGAGAGGAGUCACAGACCAGACGACCAACAGGUUUAAACAUUGAGGAGACACAGACCAGACGACCAACAGGUUUAAACAUUGAGGAGACAGAGAGGAGUCACAGACCAGACGACCAACAGGUUUAACCUGUUAAGUCGACCCUCUUCUUUUUCGAACAUUCUGUUAAAAAUCGCGCAACAUUUCAGCGCCCUGCUACUCAGGUCAGGAAUAUAGUAUAUGCAUAUGAUUAGUUAUGUGUGGAUAGAAAACACUCAGACGUUUAUAAAACUGGUUAAAUCACGGCUGUGACUAUAACAGAACGUGCGUUUCAUCGAAAAAGUGCAGGAAAAUCUGAUCACUGAAAAUGGAAAUAAAUAUCCAUGCGCGACUUCAAGGA